rnacentral:rRNA from 1 species
AUUGAACGCUGGCGGCAGGCCUAACACAUGCAAGUCGAGCGAGCUUCGGACGGGUGAGUAAUUUCUGUGGACUGCCCUCUAUAGCGGGAUAACUCCUGGAAACGGUGGCUAAUCCCGCAUACUGUCGUAUAACCCAUAUGGGAUUAGCUAGUAGGUAAGGUAAUGGCUUACCUAGGCGACGAUCCCUAGCUGGUCUGAGAGGAUGAUCAGCCACACUGGGACUGAGACACGGCCCAGACUCCUACGGAGGCAGCAGUGGGGAAUAUUGCACAAUGGGCGCAAGCCUGAUGCAGCCAUGCCGCGUGUAUGAAGAAGGCCCUAGGGUUGUAAAGUACUUUCAGUCGGGAGGCGUUACCGAAAGAAGAAGCACCGGCUAACUCCGUGCCAGCCGCCGCGGUAAUUC